rnacentral:rRNA from 1 species
AGUCACUGACAUUAGAUACCCCGGUAGUCCAGGGUGUAAACGCUGCAGACUUGGUGUUGGAGGCCCUUUGGGGGCAUUCAGUGCCGGAGAGAAGUUGUUAAGUCUGCUACUUGGGGAGUACGUCCGCAAGGAUGAAACUUAAAGGAAUUGGCGGGGGAGCACCGCAACGGGAGGAGCGUGCGGUUUAAUUGGAUUCAACACCGUAAACUCACCAGGGAAGACUGUUACAUGAAGGCCGAGAUGAAGACUCUGCUAGAUUUUCAG